rnacentral:rRNA from 1 species
GACGUAGGGCGCGAGCGUUGUCCGGAUUUAUUGGGCGUAAAGAGCUCGUAGGCGGCUUGUCGCGUCGGCUGUGAAAUCCCGUGGCUCAACUGCGGGUCUGCAGCCGAUACGGGCAGGCUAGAGUUCGGUAGGGGAGACUGGAAUUCCUGGUGUAGCGGUGAAAUGCGCAGAUAUCAGGAGGAACACCGGUGGCGAAGGCGGUUCUCUGGGCAUUACCUGACGCUGAGGAGCGAAAGUGUGGGGAGCGAACAGG